GAGAAUCAGCCUUUCUCCCUCACCGCAUAUCUUUAUCUCAUUUGCCAACACCUGAGGUAGUCCCUCCCUGGAAACCCACUGGACAUACUGGCCAGUGAUCGGGAACUAAAUGGUCAAAGGUGGGGUAGAAACCCCAGAUUGGGACUAAAGAUUUCAACAACAGGAUCCUAGCAUAACUGUUCUCUACGAAGUUCCACCCAACAGCCAAUAAAAGCAGAUGCAGAGACCUACAGCCAAACAUUAGAUGGAGCUCAGGAGUUUUGUGGAAGGAUUGAGGGACCUUAACAGGAUAGCAACUCUACAGGAAGAUCAACAGAGUCAACUAUCCUGGACCCUUCGGUGCUCCCAGUGACUGAACCAUCAACCAAAGAGCAUGGGCUGCCCCCCUCCUCAGAGGAGAAGGGGAAGGGGAGAGGGGAGGAUCUGGGGGACUGGAAGGAGGGGUCUGAUAUUUGGAUGUAAAGGGAAUAACUAAGUAAAUUAAUGAAAAAU
rnacentral:lncRNA from 1 species